GCUGGGGAGAUGGACCUCACCUGACACCAUUACUCUGGAUGUUACAGCUCGACUCUCCUGUCAAUUAAAACAUCAAUGACUCUCCAAACAGACAGCAAGGUUUCUGGUGCCUGGCUGGAGACGAGAUUCAGAUUAUUCAAGUGUUGAAACACAAUAUCAGAAUGAAUAGUUAGAAGGCAGAUUCGUUUUCUAUUCAUUAUUGUUUUUUAGUAAUGGUCCAUAGUACAAAUUAAUCAGUGCUGUAACUCUGAGUUUAGCCAAAUGUUCUUCUUUCAAUGUGUUAUUUCUGGAGUCAUUUUUUAACCAUAAUCAUUUUUGGCAACAUUAUAUAUUAAAGGAACUUCCAUAUUUUUUAUCGAACUUCAUAACUGAUCAAAGCAAAAACUGGAGAACAGAAUUAAAAGAAAUGUAUUUUUUUUUAUUAAGUGUUAGUUCAUUUGUAGUUACAUCAAUACAAAAUUCACAUCUUAAAAACAAACAGAAUCCAGUCACACUGAAGAAGUAUCCUGAUGUUGACGUUCGUCCCUUAGCUUCAACUAAUUCAGUGAAAAGUUGGGUAGAAAUGUUACCCAGAAAACGCUCUUUUUCCUCAUGGACUCAUAACCAAUGAAACAAACUGGAAGAACUGGAAGCUGAACCAGUUGGUGGAUCAUGUCA